rnacentral:rRNA from 1 species
UACGUAGGCAGCGAGCGUUGUUCGGAGUUACUGGGCGUAAAGAGUGCGUAGGCGGUUUCGUAAGUUUGGUGUGAAAUCUCCCGGCUUAACUGGGAGGGUGCGCCGAAAACUGCGGGGCUUGAGAGUGGGAGAGAUAAGCGGAAUUCCUGGUGUAGCGGUGAAAUGCGUAGAUACCAGGAGGAACACCAGCGGUGUAGACGGCUUACUGGACCACGACUGACGCUGAGGCACGAAAGCGUGGGGAGCAAACAGG